GUAUGGAAGAGUAUAGGGCUCUGAUCUUGCUAGAGAUUUGUUACUGCAAGUAAGUGAUACUGUUUGCAACAGGUCUAACUUAUUGGAUGCACAUAUAUAUUAAUAUACAUAAUCAGCCCCACUUUUUCAAUUUUGCAUGCUAAGUUAUCGAUUACAUGUUAAAAAUCUUCCCAUUAUCUAGUGAUCUGCAAACUGAACUUUGUCUUGUUACCUGUUAUGCACAGUAGAAACUAGUCGACUUUCCCAGCAAACAGAGCAGGUUUGUCGCAUAUUUGUAGAGUUGAGCGAACCCAGACUGUAAAGUUCGGGUUCGUACCGAACAUUACGGUUUUUGGACCCUGUACCUGAACACGGACAUAUCUAAUGGCGCGUUUUGAAAGGCUGCAGGGCAGCCAAUCAACAAGCGUUUGACUUGUGUGCUCUUAGAAGCCAUCACAGCCAUGCCUACUAAUGGCAUGGCUGUGAUUGGCCAGUGCAGCAUGUGACCCAGCCUCUAUAUAUAAGCUGGAAUCGCGUAGUGCCGCACGCACAUGAGCUUUUAUUAGUGUAGGCAGAGGAUACUGCUGCUUUUAGGGACAGAUUAGGAAAGAAUUCUGCAAACUAGUACCUUAGUGGGGUGCACUUCAUAUCUGAGAGUCAAAAAGAAGCGUCAAAUACCGCGGUUACAUCAGAGCUUUAAAAAGUAAAAAUUUUUUGGGUGCUAUGCUAAAUAGUAUAUUAGUGGGGUGCACUUCAUAUCUGAGAGUCAAAUAGAAGCGUCUAAUAGUGCGCUUACAGCGCAGUGGUAAACAUUCUAAUUUUUUUGCGCUAAUCUGCUAAAUAGUACGUUUGCGGCCUGCGGUGCACUUCAUAUCUGAGAGUCAAUAGAAGCGUCAAAUAGUGCGCUUACUGUGCAGUUGUAAACAUUCUAAUUGUUUUGCUGCUAAUCUGCUAAAUAGUACAUUUUGGGGCCUGCUCUUCAUAUCUGAGAAUCAAAUAGAAGCAUCUAAUAGUGUGCUUACAGCACAGUGGUAAAUAUUCUAAUUGUUUUGCUGCUAAUCUGCUAAAUAGUAUUUUGGGGCCUGCUCUUCAUAUCUGAGAGUCAAAUAGAAGCGUCUAAUAGUGUGCUUACAGCGCAGUGGUAAACAUUCUAAUUGUUUUGCUGCUAAUCUGCUAAAUAGUACAUUUUGGGGCCUGCUCUUCAUAUCUGAGAGUCAAAUAGAAGCGUCUAAUAGUGUGCCCACAGCGCAGUGGUAAACAUUCUAAUUGUUUUGCUGCUAAUCUGCUAAAUAGUACAUUUGCGGCCUGCGGUGCACUUCAUAUCCGAGAGUCAAAUAGAAGUGUCAAAUAGUGUGCUUACUGCGCACACCUACAACACUUGUUACACAGAUCUACGUGAUAUAAAACAGAUUGAUAUUUUCUACACUAAAUACUACCAGAUAACAAGCUGCUAUAUUUAAACCAGUUAUCAAUAGCUAAGAGGUACUUAAACAAUAUUGUAAUUCUGGGGCAAUACCCUCACAAGUCAAACUGAGAGGUCAGUUUAUAGGGGAAACUGUUGCUUGGAUACAAUUCUAAAACAAUUUCCAUAUGUCCUUUGCAGACUUUACAUGCUGGAUAAAUACAGGUGCCAACUGCUGUGGCUUUCUGCAGUGUGCAUACCUGCAAGGAGGGCAGGGUUGAGGAGUGGGUGGAAGAUGAUGUGGAGGAUGAUGAGGUCCUAGACCCCACAUGGAAUCAAGGUCAUGCGAGUGACUUGUGCAGUUUGGAGGAAGAGGCGCUGGUCGCACAGAGGCACCAGCACAGCAUAAGAAGGAGCAGGGUGCAAAAAUGGAGCG